rnacentral:rRNA from 1 species
AUUGAACGCUGGCGGCAGGCCUAACACAUGCAAGUCGAAUGGUAACAGGAAACAGCUUGCUGUUUCGCUGACGAGUGGCGGACGGGUGAGUAAUGUCUGGGAAACUGCCUGAUGGAGGGGGAUAACUACUGGAAACGGUAGCUAAUACCGCAUAACGUCGCAAGACCAAAGAGGGGGACCUUCGGGCCUCUUGCCAUCAGAUGUGCCCAGAUGGGAUUAGCUAGUAGGUGGGGUAACGGCUCACCUAGGCGACGAUCCCUAGCUGGUCUGAGAGGAUGACCAGCCACACUGGAACUGAGACACGGUCCAGACUCCUACGGGAGGCAGCAGUGGGGAAUAUUGCACAAUGGGCGCAAGCCUGAUGCAGCCAUGCCGCGUGUAUGAAGAAGGCCUUCGGGUUGUAAAGUACUUUCAGCGGGGAGGAAGGGAGUAAAGAUAAUACCUUUGCUCAUUGACGUUACCCGCAGAAGAAGCACCGGCUAACUCCGUG